AUAUAGAGAGUAAUAUAAUUAGUUUUGUGAAUCCGCAAUCAAGGUGUUGAUUAUAACACCACCAGAUAGUGACUGGUGAUUUAAGCAAAUGCAUCUAAAAAGCUCAUGCGGACAAUUUAAAUACAUGUCUAAGUGGUCGAGUAAAUAAAAUAGGAUGAUCAGAAGCAUUAUCCUGGGUACAAAACAUCAUAAGAAAGGGAAAUUUCAUAAACCUAACAAAAGUUUUCAAAUGCUAGGAUGAGACAUCACUUGAUUUCACAGUAAUCAUGGAAAUCAAAUUGAACUUCCAGGGAAAUCUGAAAUGAAUAGUCAAUAUAUUUGCUUUUGAACAACUAGAAUAAAUCCAUAAGUGAAGCAACUAAAAUCAAGCAAUCAAACUCUGAUGUUUGAGAGAAUAUGCUCCUCAUAACUUUAUUAAGAAAAACAAGAAAUCUUUAGUUUUUCCUCAUUAAAUUACACACACGUCCAAAUGCAAGAUAAAAAUGGCAGGUAUUAUAUAGCAGGUAAGCGAAUGUAAAAGUAAAAAGGUUAAUGCGGCUUGGCUCAACCGAGAUCAGUUCAACAUAUAACAGGCAGUCCUCAGUACUUUGAAAACCUGAGAUUGUGCAAAAGAGGCAGUCAAAGUAGAGACAAAAAACAGUAAAAUUUAGGAAGUUUGGCACCUGAGUAGCAACUCUUAUAUGUUCUCUCUCAAUGGAUUACAAUUGCAAUGCAGCUUGGGGAACUCACAUGCCCACAAACAUUAAGCUUGCCCCAAAAAAAUAAUCAAAUUAGCAUGUACCCUUUAUCACAAGAGGAAAUGCUAAACCAAACUUUCUGGAAGAUCACUACAAUCCUUUAUAAAGGCCAAAACCAUCCAAAGAACCUUUAAACAGAUUUUAAAUGAUAUUUGCUACACUAUCAGAACCUAAAAGAAAGUUAACAACUACAGAUGGUAGUUGAAGUCAAAUUCUUCCAGUGCAAACCAACCUUUUUGGGAAGAAGAAUAUUGCCAUCUUUCUUAAUUAAGACCCAAUUCAGAACUCCCAAUAUAAAGAAUUUCAUCCUAGAUAUCAAGGCUCAAUCAGCAGCAAAAUACGAAAAAUGUUUAAAAAUGUACCACUUCAAAAGAAAGAAUAUUGAAACAACUACAAAGACAGGCCCAAGUCAUCUGAUAGAAGGAGCUCAUCUCCAGAUGUUCAAGCCACAAUAUCUUCCCAUCUAAGAGACUGCCGUUGGCACGCGUCAAUGCCUUUAUCAUCCAUGUAGUACUACCAUUUAAUGAGCCAUCACAUCCUCUUUUGGGGUGCUUCCACAUGCUCUCUCAUAAUUGAUUAGGAGGGAGAGAAAUUGAAGAUUAUUUGAUGAAGACACCAUUGUUUCUAGUUUAAGAUAUCUCUUCUUUAAAAAUUUUAUGGUGCAGGUUAGUUAAACAUGAGACUUGGUUCACUACUUUUAUUAUUGUAAGCUAGCAGAUGACCUAAAUCAUAAGUAUAACACUUUAAGCUUCCAAGGAAUGCUUGUGGUAUGUACAAAUGGGAGGCACUCUUUUGGCAUAUUCUUUUUCCUCACUAAUAGCCAAAAGAAUACAUGUUAAGGGAAAAGAUGAUCCAUCUAAUUCAGCAAGGAGUCACCUUGCCCGAGAGCUCCAGUAAUCCAAUAAUCCAUGAAAUCCAAUUCCUGUGAUUUUCUCAUGGUGACUCGUAAUAUACAAGCUCUGAUGCUUGUUGUCGACGGUCUCAUAGCUUUAUAAAGCUCAACAUAGACAUUUUCAAGACCCACCUUCACCACCAUAAAAUCAAGUACAUAUCAGUCAUUAAUUAAAAGCCUCCACAUUGAUCCACCAUUACGGGUCAGCAACACCACAUAUCAGUAACCCAGAAGAUCUAUAUAACAGAGAACAAUCCUACAUUUGGUACAACCUCUCGUUCUGUCUAACUUGAUAAAUUCUUUAAUAUUUGUUGGUAUGACAAUGUACAAUCCAUUUUGGUGUAUGUAAUGGUGAAAAAGGAUUGGAAUAUUAACAUUUGCUGCCUGAAACUACAAUAUUAUAUUAUUAUGAUUGCAUAUACUAAGAUUCAAAACCUAAAAGAGUGCCUUUUAAGUGGUUGGAAUAUGGGAUUCAGGUUGUAGUGAUACAGAAGAACAUGGAUGGCUUAAUAGGUAGAAACUGAUUGG